rnacentral:misc_RNA from 1 species
UCCUCGUUUAAGCGAGGCAGUCUGUCCAGAGUGCUCCAAACUCUCGUUCGGGUGGCAACAGGACACAAGGGUUGCGCUCGUUGCGGGACUUAACCCAACAUCUCACGACACGAGCUGACGACAGCCAUGCAGCACCUGUGUAGGCUGGUAUUGCUACCUCGUCACCCUUUCGGGCUCCUACUACCCACAUGUCAAGGCCAGGUAAGGUUCUUCGCGUUGCAUCGAAUUAAGCCACAUACUCCACCGCUCGUGCGGGGACCCGUCAAUUCCUUUGAGUUUUAGCCUUGCGGCCGUACUCCCCAGGCGGGACACUUAAUGCGUUAGCUUCGGCACGGCAGUCGUUGAUCAGGCCGCCACACCUAGUGUCCAACGUUUACAGCGUGGACUAC